AAGGAUGACUUUAACUAGGCAAAAAAUCAACAGAAAUUUGAAAGCUCUAUGCGCGGUCCCACGAUGGCCACUUCAUUUCACCUCGCCUGACCUCCACCAUGGACCACUGCAUCGGAAAUCUCUUCUGGCAGCGGCAGUCACCAGAAAUAGAAAAUGGACCUACCUCCCGCCUUGUCUCAUCUUCUUGGUCACGAAUCUAACAUCCAAAAUUCCUAAUUUUUUGCCUAAGUCCACAAUCGAAACCAAAUUCUCAAGAAUCCUAAGAAGUUCAAUCCCUAAUUACACCUCCACGGAUGAAAUUGGAAGCUCAUGGUGUUAGGGAUUUGCAUUAGCUCGAUGUAGGGUGCAAUAUGGCAAUCAAAACGCGAAGAAAUAAUGAAGAUGGACCUACCUCUGAAGCUGAGACUUGCUCCGACAAGUGUUGAUCGAAGAAGAUGAAGACGACAAAUCACUUGUUCAAGAGGUACGGUAUUGUCUUUCUCUUCUUCUGAUUUACUUUUCUUCCAAUUCUUCUUCUUCCAAAAUUAUAUAGUGUGAUGAAUUCAGAUCGAUGAGGUUGAGCUCUCUCUUCUUGAAGCUUCAAUGUGAAACUUCAAUGGAGUUUAGAAAUUGAGCUUUGAGUGUGAGAGGGAGAGGAUUCAGAGAGAAUUUAGAAGUUUGAGGGUAAUGAUUACAAGGGCUGAAAUGAUGAUGAUAAUCAUGAUUAAAUAGGUAUUACGUUUGGAUUGGAGUAGGCUUAGAUUUAGGUAUGGAGUUAGUUAGGAUCCGGUUUGGAGUUGGUUAGAAUGAACUCACUGAGUUAACUCCAAACUCAGUUAGUUAGGGAGUUAGUUAAUGAAUUUAAAUUAUUUGGUUAGCUUAGUGAGUGUUAAAUCAAAUUUUGUUUCUGACUGGCAAUUGUAGGUUAUAUUUGAAAUGCAAUUCAGUGGAAUUGGCUUAACAUGAGUGAUGAAACCUUCAAUACCAACUGAACUUGUGACCUAGUUCAGGAAGUGCUAUGUUGUUGGUUAAUGUUAACUGUUAUGCAUUUCUUGGUGUUGGAAUGUAGGUUAAAACAUGUUGCCAUGUGUUUAUGCUUCCACUACAUUGGACUGUUGGGGUAGGGCAUUGGUGUUAAUUUGAAAUGAAUUUGGAGCCAAUUUGCAAGUGAAUUUGAAGUUGAAUUUAGAGUUAAUUUAGGAUGGACUUGUUGUACUGAGAGUCAUCUAUAUUCUGACUUAAUUGGCCUUGCAGUCAUUCUGUAGCAUAGCUUCAAUGUGUUAAACCAAGUCAGUUUUGAGUCAAUUUUGGUGUUCGCAUUGAGUUGAUUAUGCUUUUCCCUGGAAACAUUAUGCAGAUUAACCUGUUCUAUUUUGAACUGUUGGAGUUGCAGGUUUUACUUGCACUGUUGUGAAUAGGUAUUGGUUGUUGUGCUAGGUUGAGAUGCUUGUUAGUGGAUGAUGGUUUUGAUGUUGCUGCAACAUAUAUGCAUUGUUGAUGAGCUGACUGAACUGUUAUUGUAAUUAGCUACAAGUUUGCAUAUGGUUUGAAGAUGCCUUGUAGACUGUCUGCUUCGUAGGAUUUAUGUUUAAAGGAUAAUUGCAGGUUUGGUUGGAUGCAAGACAUGAUGGUUCAUUGUUGGGUUGUACUUGCAUUGCCAACUGACUUGGUCUGGAUGCAACCUUGCAUGAUGUCGUGAUUCUCUUGGCCAUAGCCAUGUUCAGGUAAUGAUAAGCCCAUGUUUUAUUUCCUUUGUGAUGUACCAGAGUUGCAACAGACUUUUCAAAUGGCCAUUCCAUGAUGCAUAAGCUGACUGGUUUAGCUGAUUUGGUAUGGUGCCAUGGUGAGGUCAGACAAUGCAAAGUGUUGUGGCUGCUAUGAGGCAUGCAGGAUAGUCAUAAGGUCUUGCUUUGCAGCAUGUUGUUUUUUAUAUGCAUUAGCUGCAGGAUACAUGAUGGUUUGUUGUCUUGCAAGUUGAAGGAUGCUAGGCAUGGUGUAGCAAGGCAAGCAGGGAAAAUGGCCUGAGUUGGCAGCAUGUGUUCUGACUUGUUGUAGCAUGAACCUGGCAGGCUUGGUGGACAUGAUUUUGAACAUGGACAAUGUUACUUGUAAAUGAAUAAACAUGACACAAACAAACCAACAUGACCUUUAGAUGAUAAAUUAAGGAAAGGUGGAUUAGAUUAGAUCUUAGGUGGCCAAAAAGGGAUGAGUUGACUUUGUUCAAAAUUGACCAAAAAGUCAAUGGUUGACCAAAGUCAACACUUGGUCAAAGUUGCUAAAAUUUGUAAGUUUUUAUGUAAUGAUCAAUGUAAUGGAUUGUAAUGGUUUGCAAUGGAUUGAAUGGAAGUUAAAUGGUUUUCAAAUUGGUU